UUUAUUUUUACCUCCACUCCUACUCGAUUCAGCCAACUUUAUUUCUCUAAUAGGACCAACUAGAACAAACCUAUUUUCUAGGUUUUCAACCACAGAAGAAAUUUCCUCAACAGGGGUUUCUUGAAUUUUCUCAGUGUCAGAAGACCUAUGUUCUUCACUUUCACUGGCAGACUUAGACGAGUCUGACGCAGAAUUGGAGUCAGAUUCUUGAGUUGAGCUUUC
rnacentral:lncRNA from 1 species